rnacentral:lncRNA from 7 species
AGAUUGGAUAUUUUCUCUAGGGAAAACUUUGAAAAUGCCUCGUGCUUAAAUGUAAGGCUCUUUACCACGAGGCUGUGUUUUUUUGGUUCCCCUGGCUACUGUUUAAAAUACACAUUCUGAAAAUGUUUCUGGGCCAAAUAGAGCAUUUCUCUGUUUACUCUUACGGUGAUUCAUAAUUUUUCAUUUAUGCAUUAGCAUAAUUUCUCUGUCUGAAACCAGUGAGACAAAUGGCAACUCAUGGACUUGCUCACAUCCCACUAAGAGCCUAACCCAGUGGAUGGAAAAAAAAAAUCCCUGUAUUGGUUCAGAAAUACCACCUCUAAUAACAAAUGUUGAAGGAAUCCACUUUUCUCAUCAGAAAUCUAUGCAAAAUGUGUGCUUGCCCUCUGACUGCACGAUACCUGCUGUGACCGUGGCUGAGGAGGAAGGGCAGCUGCCUCAGGUGCUUCGUUAAUCCUGCUUUUGUGCACAGCUUUGUUCCGUGGUCCCGAUCUACCCAUCGUGACUUGCAGGGAUCCAAUGCUGUUUUAUGUCUGCAUAUUCUACUGGAUGAAAUGGAUAUGACAUGAAAUGAAUAUGAGAGAAGGAAUACCUGAAGAAAGGAGCUAGCAAAGAAUGGAGCACCAGGAUUUCUUAGCUGUGUGAAGUUUGACUGUGAACUCGUGCUGUACUUUCUGUGAGCAGUAACUCCUGAAUGUGAACGCAUAAGAAGUGCCUGCAGAGCACUGCAGCCCUGCUUCAAUGAUGGGAUGGAGUAACUGUGAUCUGGAGGAGCUCAGGUACAAGGAGCAGCGUGUUACCAGGAGCGCAGUUCAGAAAUGUGUGAUCUGAAAGCACGGAUGAGGCUACUGUCCCUUUGUUUUUGAGCACAAACCCUCUGUUGAGAGUGAAAACAACUUUGUCUUUUCCUGCUUAUUGUAGUCACCUGAAUUAAAUGCACUCCAGGUGAGCAU